UGCAAAGAAGACAGUGAAGUGAAACGCUCCAAAGAGAGGGAGGUAGGAAAUGUUAUGAUACUCUGCAGAACGAUUCCUGCUCUCCACAUGGUCUGAGGUCCCAGUACUCUACAGUGAACCUAGAUAAAUUAUCAUUGUGCAUUGACAAACAGAAACGCCAAGACGUCACCCCGGAUUUAGAAGAUUUAUUAAUGUCAACAGACCUUACUGGGAAUCUUUCCCAAACUGUCAGGCCCCAAUACCUGCAAAUUCCAACGUAAUUUAGCGUAUGAACAAGCUGCAAACUCCAAGGCAUAAGAUCUCCUGAGACACAGCUGAGUUUCUACCAAGUAGAGCAGCCAACAUUCAGCCUAGCACAGGUGCCAGCUGCGUGAUCACACAUCUCCAAACAAGACCAAAGUCAUGUCGGGCCCUGUCCUACUGAGGCGUGCCCCCCGCUCAAGCUCAACCAACUACUGCUGGCCCUGUGCGUUUUCCCCUUGUUAUGUGUUGCUCAGCACUGCUUGCCUGAGACCCCCCACCUGGAUCUCUCUGAACUGCCUCCUGGUUUGAGUACUGUCCAGUUCGUGAAUCAUUCUUUGCGAAAAUAUCCUCUGCUAUGGUUACUUUGUCUGA